GAUGAACGCUGGCGGCGUGCUUAACACAUGCAAGUCGAACGGUGAAGCAGGAGCUUGCUCUUGUGGAUCAGUGGCGAACGGGUGAGUAACACGUGAGCAACCUGCCCCUGACUCUGGGAUAAGCGCUGGAAACGGCGUCUAAUACUGGAUAUGUGAUGUGACCGCAUGGUCUGCAUCUGGAAAGAAUUUCGGUUGGGGAUGGGCUCGCGGCCUAUCAGCUUGUUGGCGAGGUAAUGGCUCACCAAGGCGUCGACGGGUAGCCGGCCUGAGAGGGUGCCGGGCACCAGUGGGACUGAGACACGGCCCAGACUCCUACGGGAGGCAGCAGUGGGGAAUAUUGCACGAUGGGCGGAAGCCUGAUGCAGCAACGCCGCGUGAGGGAUGACGGCCUUCGGGUUGUAAACCUCUUUUAGCAGGGAAGAAGCGAAAGUGACGGUACCUGCAGAAAAAGCACCGGCUAACUACGUGCCAGCCGCCGCCGUAA
rnacentral:rRNA from 1 species